rnacentral:rRNA from 1 species
UAGGGAAUCUUCCACAAUGGACGCAAGUCUGAUGGAGCAACGCCGCGUGAGUGAAGAAGGUUUUCGGAUCGUAAAGCUCUGUUGUUGGUGAAGAAGGAUAGAGGCAGUAACUGGUCUUUAUUUGACGGUAAUCAACCAGAAAGUCACGGCUAACUACGUGCCAGCAGCCGCGGUAAUACGUAGGUGGCAAGCGUUGUCCGGAUUUAUUGGGCGUAAAGCGAGCGCAGGCGGAAUGAUAAGUCUGAUGUGAAAGCCCACGGCUCAACCGUGGAACUGCAUCGGAAACUGUCAUUCUUGAGUGCAGAAGAGGAGAGUCGAAUUCCAUGUGUAGCGGUGGAAUGCGUAGAUAUAUGGUAGACCACCAGUGGCGAAGGCGGCUCUCUGGUCUGCAACUGACGCUGAGGCUCGAAAGCAUGGGUAGCGAACAGG